rnacentral:rRNA from 1 species
UACGUAGGGUGCAAGCGUUGUCCGGAAUUAUUGGGCGUAAAGAGCUCGUAGGCGGUUUGUCGCGUCGAAUGUGAAAUCCCGGGGCUCAACCCCGGGUCUGCAUUCGAUACGGGCAGACUAGAGUUCGGUAGGGGAGUCUGGAAUUCCUGGUGUAGCGGUGAAAUGCGCAGAUAUCAGGAGGAACACCGGUGGCGAAGGCGGGACUCUGGGCCGAUACUGACGCUGAGGAGCGAAAGCGUGGGGAGCAAGCAGG